UCGGGAGUAGCUUAGUUGGUAGAGCGCCUGACUCUGAAUCAGGAGAUCGUAGGUUCAAGUCCUAUCUCCCGAG
rnacentral:tRNA from 1 species